rnacentral:rRNA from 1 species
GGUACAGAACUGUGAUCUCAAGAAAAAUGUAUUUAAAAAUAUAUUUUUCAGAUUUAGGGGGAGUGAAAACCCUACUUGUGAGUAUUUGCACUCGGAAGGGUUAUGAUGAAUAUUGAAUAGUCGGACAUAGUACGAUAAGGUUGUAUGUCUAAAGGGAAACAGCCCAGAACAAGAGUUAAUAAGGUUCCAAAAUUAUUGUUAAGUGAAAUUAAGGUAGUAUUUAUCUAAUUCGUCCAGGAAAUAGGCCUAGAAGCAGCCAUUUUUUUGAGAUUUCGUAACAGAGCACUGGUUUAUUACUAUACUAUCAAAUAGUAUAGUAAACAAAGGUAAAAGCACCGAAAAUUUAACGGAUCUAAAUAAUAUACCGAUACCUUGUCUAUAAAUAGUUAUAUGUAAAAAUUGUAUAUUAUAUUUAUGGGGUAGUGGAACACUGGCUAAAUGUAAGAUUUUAUCUUUUAAAGAUAAAAAAAAUUGAUAUAAGCCAGGCGAUAAUGCUGACAUGAGUAACGAUAAAGGGAUUUUUAUCCCUCGCCUAAAACUUAUGGUAUUGCUUAAAGUAACGGCCUCUAAGUUUAUAUUUGCUUUAAUAAAGUAAAUACCUAAUGGAUUAAACGAUGAGAAAAUCUAGUAGAGUUUAUUGCUAUAUAACCUUUGUGCAAAAUCAAUAUUUGCUAAAGUGACAAAGUGUUCUGGAAAACUUUAAACUCAAGGAUGAGUAAAUAUUUAUUUACUCAUGUUAUUGAACCGUACCUAGAUACUACCACUAGUAAGUUAGUAGAGAAUACGAAGGCGUUUGAGAUAACAAUCAUUAA